rnacentral:rRNA from 1 species
UACAGAGGAUGCAAGCGUUAUCCGGAAUGAUUGGGCGUAAAGCGUCUGUAGGUGGCUUUUUAAGUCCGCCGUCAAAUCCCAGGGCUCAACCCUGGACAGGCGGUGGAAACUACCAAGCUGGAGUACGGUAGGGGCAGAGGGAAUUUCCGGUGGAGCGGUGAAAUGCGUAGAUAUGUGGAGGAACACCGAUGGCGAAGGCAGCCCCCUGGGAUAACACUGACGCUCACGCACGAAAGCGUGGGGAGCAAACAGG